rnacentral:rRNA from 1 species
AUUGAACGCUGGCGGCAGGCUUAACACAUGCAAGUCGAGCGAGCGGCGGACGGGUGAGUAAUGUCUGGGAAACUGCCUGAUGGAGGGGGAUAACUACGGGAAACUGUAGCUAAUCCCGCGUACCAUCAGAUGAACCCAGAUGGGAUUAGCUAGUAGGUGGGGUAACGGCGCACCUAGGCGACGAUCCCUAGCUGGUCUGAGAGGAUGACCAGCCACACUGGAAAUGAGACACGGCCCAGACUCCUACGGGAGGCAGCAGUGGGGAAUAUGGCACAAUGGGGGCAACCCGGACGCAGCCAUGCCGCGUGAAUGAAGAAGGCCUUCGGGUUGUAAAGCUCUUUCAGUGGGGAGGCGUUACUCGCAGAAGAAGCACCGGCUAACUCCGUGCCAGCCGCCGCGGUAAUAC